GUGCUUGCUUUGGCAACACAUGUACUAAAAUUGGAAUGAUACAGAGAUUAGCAUGGCCCCUGUCCAAGGAUGACACACAUUUGUGCAGUAUUCCAUUAAGAA
ensembl:snRNA U6 U6 spliceosomal RNA